rnacentral:rRNA from 1 species
UACGUAGGGGGCAAGCGUUGUCCGGAUUUAUUGGGCGUAAAGAGCGUGUAGGCGGUUCGGUAGGUCCGUUGUGAAAACUCGAGGCUCAACCUCGAGACGCCGAUGGAAACCAUCGAACUAGAGUCCGGAAGAGGAGAGUGGAAUUCCUGGUGUAGCGGUGAAAUGCGCAGAUAUCAGGAAGAACACCCGUGGCUAAGGCGGCUCUCUGGGCCGUAACUGACGCUGAGGAGCGAAAGCAUGGGGAGCGAACAGG